AUGACCGUAUCACGUUGAAACUCCGGUUCUCGUACGAUCACUGAAGUUAAGCAAUAUGAAACCUGGUCAGUACCUAGAUGGAUGACCACUUGGUAAAAACCAUGUGCUGUUA